UCACCUUUGGAAGGGAGGGGACCCUCCACUCACACAGUUCUUGACAAAAUAGUUUUUUUCUUUUCUUUUACCCCCUUCAUCAACGUCUCUCCUCUGACGGAGUUCUCAACUUUUCUUAUGGUGUCGCAGUGCUGCAUCUCUUGCUAUCUUCUACUGUUAUUUUCGUGCUUACUACUCCUCUGAACUUCCUAACUGCAAGCUUCCCCCUUCUCGUGACCUCGCUGUGCAAGACUUUCUACUUUCAUUCCCUAUUAUGCCCACCUCGCUAAUGCAGGAGUUAAGGCGUCUUCUUCAGCUCUUCAAAAGUGCCUCGGAAACAGGCAUUUUCCGACGCAUACCUUUCGAGCAGGUCUCCUGGGAACUUUGGAACCUUACAACUACCCCAGGCCACAAGCUUUCUAAGGGCUUGCAAGAAUUUUGGGAGGGCAGCAUGGUACUUAUAAGCUAUAUAAUGACAAAUUUAAGCUUGUGGGGAAAAGUAUAGGGUAAAAGUAGUUGGAAGAUAUUAAAUAAAAAUAAAUAAUAAUAAUCCUUCCUAUCUUGUUUCUAUAAGUUAAUACAAUUACUAUAGCCACAGCACGCAUGCCAAUAGUAUUGUCCCGACAACGCUUACGCCCACACCGCCCAUACCAACGCCCCUGGCGUAGCCCUUUGUCCGGGGCGUUGCCCCCCAGGCUUGCCCUACUGUGAGAACCUUAGCCUUAACUCUCGGCAAUCUGGACUUAGAUUUUGAAGAAUCGUUGAAUACCUGAAGUACUUGCUGAGUGUAUAACCGGUGCAGUUCCUGCAUAAACUCUAACUUAUAAUUAAAGUUCAUUGCUAUUGGAGAUCAUCAAAGAUCAAUAGGUGACUGCCAUGAUGUGUUGCAGGCAAGUUAGUGAAUAAGUCCAGACUGCUUCAAGAACAGUAGGAGUAGGCAUCACAUCUUUCUCCCCUCUGGCAAGAAUUUGCA